UGUCAGGUAUAGCCUGACAUGCAUUUCACCGUAGGAACCCACUUCCGGGUUCACGGAGCUUAGCCCCGCCCCUUUUUUCUGACGCGGUCCUUACACGCUACUUAGGAAGACCGCGCCAGAUUCAAAGGGCUGGAUUAUUGCACAGGUGCCUGCAAACUUAUCAGCUGCACUACCUUGAUCCUGCCUGUAUCGAGUAUCGUUCUGGGACGGCUACUACCUUCU